rnacentral:rRNA from 1 species
GCGAUACCGCGAAUGGCUCAAUAUAUCAGUUUUGGUUCCUUAGAUCUUACUCGGUUACUUGGAUAACUGUGGUAAUUCUAGAGCUAAUACAUGCAAUCAGAACUCCGACCAGCGAUGGGACGAGCGCUUUUAUUAGAUCAAAACCAAUUGACGGAGGUCCUCGCGGCCGAUGUCGUACAUUUUGAUGAGUCUGGAUAACUUUUGCCGAUCGCAUGGUCUAGCACCGGCGACGCGUCUUUCAAGUGUCUGCCUUAUCAACUUUCGAUGGUAGUUUCUGCGACUACCAUGGUUGUCACGGGUAACGGGGAAUCAGGGUUCGAUUCCGGAGAGGGAGCCUGAGAAACGGCUACCACAUCCAAGGAAGGCAGCAGGCGCGCAAAUUACCCACUCCGGCACGGGGAGGUAGUGACGAAAAAUAACGAUACGAGACUCAUACGAGGCCUCGUAAUCGGAAUGAGUACACUUUAAAUAUUUUAACGAGGAACAAUUGGAGGGCAAGUCUGGUGCCAGCAGCCGCGGUAAUUCCAGCUCCAAUAGCGUAUACUAAAAUUGUUGCGGUUAAAAAGCUCGUAGUUGCAUUUGUGCGCCGCGCUGUCGGUGCGCCGCUUCUGCGGUGAUACUGACACGUUUGCGGAGCAUAUCGUCGGUGAGGCCCGGUCAAGCGGCGGUUCAAUAUCAAAAAUCCUAUCGUAUUUCGUGCAUGGAAUAAUAGAAUAUGAUCUCGGUUCCAUUUUGUUGGUUUUCAGAACUCCGAGGUAAUGAUUAAUAGGGAUAACUGGGGGCAUUCGUAUUGCGACGUUAGAGGUGAAAUUCUUGGAUCGUCGCAAGACGNNCAUCAGCGAAAGCAUUUGCCAAAGGUGUUUUCAUCAAUCAAGAACGAAAGUUAGAGGUUCGAAGGCGAUUAGAUACCGCCCUAGUUCUAACCGUAAAUAUGUCAUCUAGCGAUCCGCCGACGUUACGAAAAUGGCUCGGCGGGCAGCUU